GAGAUAGGCAUUGCCGUUUUAUCCCCGCCCAGUUUGUAGCAUCCAGCUGAGCUGGCAGACCUGCAGCAGCUGGCUGGUUGGUGCAAACAGGGGGAGGAUGGACCUCACUUCAAGGCCAGCC
rnacentral:precursor_RNA from 16 species